rnacentral:rRNA from 1 species
UAGGGAAUCUUCGGCAAUGGGGGGAACCCUGACCGAGCAACGCCGCGUGAGUGAAGAAGGUUCUCGGAUCGUAAAGCUCUUUUGUUAAGGAAGAACGAGUGUGAGAAUGGAAAGUUCAUGCUGUGACGGUACUUAACCAGAAAGGGACGGCUAACUACGUGCCAGCAGCCGCGGUAAUACGUAGGUCCCGAGCGUUGUCCGGAUUUAUUGGGCGUAAAGCGAGCGCAGGCGGUUAGAAAAGUCUGGAGUGAAAGGCAGUGGCUCAACCAUUGUAGGCUUUGGAAACUGUUUAACUUGGGUGCAGAAGGGGGGGGUGGAGUUCCACGUGUAGCGGUGAAAUGCGUAGAUAUAUGGGGGAACACCGGUGGCGAGAGCGGCUCUCUGGUCUGUAACUGACGCUGGGGCUCGAAAGCGUGGGGAGCGAACAGG